rnacentral:lncRNA from 1 species
GAGGAAUCAAACUUCCCCUUCAUCAAGAUCUGCUCCCCCGAUAAGAUGAUUGGGUUCUCUGAGACAGCCAAGUGUCAGGCCAUGAAGAAGAUCUUUGAUGAUGCUUACAAAUCUCAGCUCAGUUGUGUGGUCGUGGAUGACAUUGAGAGGUUGCUCGGUGAGUCUAACGGUUGACUGUUGUACUCUGCCACGUGACAAAGUCCCUAUCUCACAGGGACCAUAGCAGCGUCUCUUCUAUGACAUCAGUAGUCAUGAGCCAGAUGCUUUGUUUUCUCCAGUGCGGUCCUGUCCAUAUUAAACGAGCAAUG